ensembl:ncRNA ZC513.18 ncRNA
UGAGAUAACGGGAACAUAUAAUUAGUGAUAUGUAUCUGACCGUGCAAGGGGGAUACCAGUUGAAUAACUAGUUUGUUGUCUCUGUGCGCAAAAAGGAAAAAGAAAAAUGAUAGGUUUUGAUUA